rnacentral:lncRNA from 1 species
CCUUUGUUCUCGCCCUGCCGGAUGAACGGCGGCCUGGCUCCUCCUCUCCCUCCUGGACCAUUUGGUUUCCAGCCCCUUCCCACGGAACCCGGAGAUUAAACUCGCCGUUCUCCGCGGAGCUUAAACAGGAAGGCUGCCGACAGCCCCGGAAUGAAGAUGGUUCUUCCGGGACCUUGCAGGCACUCUGAAUACUGAAGGAAACGGUGAGAAAAAAGAGCUUGGAACGGAACGAAACAAAGAAAAGAGAGACAGUGCCACAUCUCCUCCUGGAGGACCAGAGAAGUGAAGUGACUCGUCCAAGGUCACACCACGUGCAAGUAGCAGUGCCAGGAUUAGAACACAGGUCUGAUUCGUCCAGUAG